UACGAAGGGGGCUAGCGUUGCUCGGAAUCACUGGGCGUAAAGCGCACGUAGGCGGCUUUCUAAGUCAGGGGUGAAAUCCUGGAGCUCAACUCCAGAACUGCCUUUGAUACUGGAGAGCUCGAGUCCGGAAGAGGUGAGUGGAACUCCGAGUGUAGAGGUGAAAUUCGUAGAUAUUGGGAAGAACACCGGUGGCGAAGGCGGCGCUCUGGACCGAGACUGACGCUGAGGCGCGAAAGCGUGGGGAGCAAACAGG
rnacentral:rRNA from 1 species